AGAGUUUGAUCCUGGCUCAGGACGAACGCUGGCGGCGUGCCUAAUACAUGCAAGUAGAACGCUGAAGAGAGGAGCUUGCUCUUCUUGGAUGAGUUGCGAACGGGUGAGUAACGCGUAGGUAACCUGCCUUGUAGCGGGGGAUAACUAUUGGAAACGAUAGCUAAUACCGCAUAACAAUGGAUGACACAUGUCAUUUAUUUGAAAGGGGCAAUUGCUCCACUACAAGAUGGACCUGCGUUGUAUUAGCUAGUAGGUGAGGUAACGGCUCACCUAGGCGACGAUACAUAGCCGACCUGAGAGGGUGAUCGGCCACACUGGGACUGAGACACGGCCCAGACUCCUACGGGAGGCAGCAGUAGGGAAUCUUCGGCAAUGGGGGCAACCCUGACCGAGCAACGCCGCGUGAGUGAAGAAGGUUUUCGGAUCGUAAAGCUCUGUUGUAAGUCAAGAACGAGUGUGAGAGUGGAAAGUUCACACUGUGACGGUAGCUUACCAGAAAGGGACGGCUAACUACGUGCCAGCAGCCGCGGUAAUACGUAGGUCCCGAGCGUUGUCCGGAUUUAUUGGGCGUAAAGCGAGCGCAGGCGGUUUGAUAAGUCUGAAGUUAAAGGCUGUGGCUCAACCAUAGUUCGCUUUGGAAACUGUCAAACUUGAGUGCAGAAGGGGAGAGUGGAAUUCCAUGUGUAGCGGUGAAAUGCGUAGAUAUAUGGAGGAACACCGGUGGCGAAAGCGGCUCUCUGGUCUGUAACUGACGCUGAGGCUCGAAAGCGUGGGGAGCGAACAGGAUUAGAUACCCUGGUAGUCCACGCCGUAAACGAUGAAUGCUAGGUGUAGGAGGUAUCGACCCCUCCUGUGCCGGAGUUAACGCAAUAAGCAUUCCGCCUGGGGAGUACGGCCGCAAGGCUGAAACUCAAAGGAAUUGACGGGGGCCCGCACAAGCGGUGGAGUAUGUGGUUUAAUUCGACGCAACGCGAAGAACCU
rnacentral:rRNA from 1 species